rnacentral:rRNA from 1 species
CGGCCGUGAAUACGUUCUCAGGUCUUGUACACACCGCCCGUCAAACCACGAAAGUCGGGGGGCGCCCGAAGGGACCGCAAGGUCACUACGACGAAUUCGAUGAUCAGGGUU